UACGAAGGGGGCUAGCGUUGCUCGGAAUCACUGGGCGUAAAGGGUGCGUAGGCGGGUCUUUAAGUCAGGGGUGAAAUCCUGGAGCUCAACUCCAGAACUGCCUUUGAUACUGGGGAUCUCGAGUCCGGGAGAGGUGAGUGGAACUGCGAGUGUAGAGGUGAAAUUCGUAGAUAUUCGCAAGAACACCAGUGGCGAAGGCGGCCGACUGGUCCGGUUCUGACGCUGAGGCGCGAAAGCGUGGGGAGCAAACAGG
rnacentral:rRNA from 1 species